CAAUAGCGUGUAUUAAAGUUGUUGCAGUUAAAAAGCUCGUAGUUGGAUUUCUGGUGGGAGCGAUCGGUCUGGCGCUUAGCGCGAGUACUUGCAUCGUCUCCGGCCAUCCUUGGGGAGAGUCUGUCUGGCAUUAAGUUGUCGGGCAGAGGAUCCUCAUCGUUUACUGUGAAAAAAUUAGAGUGUUCAAAGCAGGCUUAUGCCGUUGAAUAUAUUAGCAUGGAAUAAUAAGAUAGGACUUUGGUACUAUUUUGUUGGUUUGCGCACCAAAGUAAUGAUUAAUAGGGACAGUUGGGGGUAUUCGUAUUCCGUUGUCAGAGGUGAAAUUCUUGGAUUUACGGAAGACGAACUACUGCGAAAGCAUUUACCAAGGAUGUUUUCAUUAA
rnacentral:rRNA from 1 species